UAAGGGCUGACUGGGUAAUCUCUGCAGGCAACUGUGAUGGUGCUUUAAAUUCUCACAAUGACCUGGAGAGAUUCUGCAGUUGCCUUUU
rnacentral:pre_miRNA from 1 species